rnacentral:rRNA from 1 species
UACGUAGGGUGCGAGCGUUGUCCGGAAUUAUUGGGCGUAAAGAGCUCGUAGGCGGCCUGUCGCGUCGGAUGUGAAAGCCCGGGGCUUAACCCCCGGGUCUGCAGUCGAUACGAGCAAACUAGAGUGUUGCAGGGGAGACUGGAAUUCCUGGUGUAGCGGUGAAAUGCGCAGAUAUCAGGAGGAACACCGAUGGCGAAGGCAGGUCUCUGGGCAUUAACUGACGCUGAGGAGCGAAAGCAUGGGGAGCGAACAGG